UAAAAGGGUACCCAUGGUACCAUAAUAAUUAUAGUGACAUGUAGUGAUUUUGGUGUUUGGAAUGUUCCUUUUAAUUAUUUCUUGAAUAAACCUUGCUGUGUCAGUUGUUUCUCUCUUUCAAACUAAGUUGCAUUAUCAUUUUGCAAAAGUAUCAAGAAAUUUAGAAUCUGUUAGAAUUAAAUAAAUAAUAAUGACAAGAAUAUAUCUGUUACGCAUCUACAACCACCAAAAAACACCAAUGCUAAAUAGUAUCUAAAUUUUGUCCUGAGUUUAGAAAUACCCAAUGUUAACAUGUUCAAAGCUUUUUUUGCAAGUUAUAGGGCAAUCAGUACAAGUAGCACUUUGCUAUUUCCAAACCAUUUUUUUCUUCAAAAUUAACGCGUUACAUUGUAACACUGAUAUCUGUCAGGAAUACCUAAGGUAUUAAUCUUGGGGUAUUUUGACUCUUUUUGUGCUCUUUUCAUGCAACCAUUAUACCACCAAUCUAUGCCAAAUGUAAAAAAAUAAAAAAUAAUCGGUGAUUUUCUUGACACAUAGCAUUUUAAGAAUACAUGUACUGAAAUCUUUAAGGGUUACUGCAAAAGAACACCCCAAUAUGUGUUCAGCAACAGAACAAUAUGUGUUCUGCUUUAAGCUCCAUCUGAGCAGCUGGUGGGUCAGGUGUGGUUUGAGGACUCCUGCCAGUCCGGCUAGGUACAGGAAACAAAAGCUCCUGUACCGCGUACCGGACCGUAGAUC